rnacentral:lncRNA from 1 species
AGAAAUGGCCAGAAUGUUCCUUGCUGCAGAUGCAUUGGCCCCAUCUGCAGGUCCUCUUUGACACCUACCUUACUCUCUCCCUCCACUCACACUCUGAGAACUGUGCUCAGGGGCAGCGCUACAACUUCCACAUUGGUCUUUACAGGGCUUGAGUGAUUAUUUCAAGAACAGAACGCUGUGUGGAAACCUUUACCAUAUUUCGUUGUAUCUAAGACACAUUUUUUUUUUUUGAAAUUUAACAUCUCUAAGGUUGGGUUAUGUUUCUUCAUCAUUGUCAGGUUGGAGCUUAAUCAGCAGCACUUUUUUUUAAUGUCACACACAGUAAUGGUGAUGCAUCUCACAAUUGAGAUCAUCUUAGACAUGAUGGAAUAUGGAAUCGUGUGCCUGUUACAAGCCAGGCUCUUGUCUGGGUUCUAGAGACGGUGGAAACCAAGACAGCACCAUCCUCUAGUGGUGUUCACAUCCCACCACAGUGGAGUCAGGACUUUGAAGUCCUCCAUUGGAUCUUCUCGGAAGAUGAGGGAAAUGAGAGAGUGUGGAGAGAGAUUUUGUAAGUCCGGUCUGGAAGUGGUCAUUGUUCAGAAUCCAGCCACGUGGGUACAUGGAACUGUAAGAAUAUGUUCUGUGGACACUACAGAUGCAGAUUAAAUCACCUGCAAAGUGAAUCUGUCAGCCCUAACAAUAAGAAUAGCUCUUUUAUGAUGAGCAGGUGAGACCAGGUAAUUACCGAAGAAAGAGAGUGAUGUGUUCAUUGAAGUCUACUCAUGGAGGAAAGAAGGCUAUUUCAACAUGGGAAACUGAAAUCGGGCAUAUCCCUGCGGAAGAAGCUGUCUCUUAGCGAAGAAUAAAACUGUGGACUGACCCCCACCCAUUUGCGAAGAAAGUACUGGGUCUUCAGCUUUCAUUGUUCAGCCGGUGGUCUUUGUGGACAACACCAGGGGCCCCUCCUGCUGAAGACUGUCUGGACUUCCUGAUUUUCACUCCUGUAUAAACCCCCUCCCCCAUUACUACCUUUGUCUCCUUGGGGAAAAAAAAUGUUUUUCACUUAAGCAAAAUAAUAACUACCCAGUAUUUGUUUCUGGAGUGAAAUUGUAAACUUCAUUGUACAUUCUUCCUGGCUUUGAUGCUUAUCGUGAAGAGUUCAGUGAAAAUAAAUUGUUUUUAUGAAAGCAGAGAAACCAUUUGAUA